UGGGGAAUAUUGCACAAUGGACGCAAGUCUGAUGCAGCGACGCCGCGUGAGGGAUGACGGCCUUCGGGUUGUAAACCUCUUUCGCCAAGGACGAAGCCGUAAGGUGACGGUACUUGGAGAAGAAGCGCCGGCCAACUACGUGCCAGCAGCCGCGGUAAGACGUAGGGCGCGAGCGUUGUCCGGAUUUAUUGGGCGUAAAGAGCUCGUAGGCGGCUCAUUGCGUCAACCGUGAAAUCCUGCUGCUCAACGGCAGGUCUGCGGUUGAUACGGGUGGGCUGGAGUUCGGUAGGGGAGACUGGAAUUCCUGGUGUAGCGGUGAAAUGCGCAGAUAUCAGGAGGAACACCGGUGGCGAAGGCGGGUCUCUGGGCCGAUACUGACGCUGAGGAGCGAAAGCGUGGGGAGCGAACAGG
rnacentral:rRNA from 1 species